rnacentral:rRNA from 1 species
UACGUAGGGUGCGAGCGUUGUCCGGAAUUAUUGGGCGUAAAGAGCUCGUAGGCGGUCUGUCGCGUCGGAUGUGAAAAUCCAGGGCUCAACCCUGGACCUGCAUUCGAUACGGGCAGACUAGAGUUCGGUAGGGGAGACUGGAAUUCCUGGUGUAGCGGUGAAAUGCGCAGAUAUCAGGAGGAACACCGAUGGCGAAGGCAGGUCUCUGGGCCACUACUGACGCUGAGAAGCGAAAGCAUGGGGAGCGAACAGG